GCAACGGAUAUCUAGGCUCUCGCAUCGAUGAAGAACGUAGCGAAAUGCGAUACUUGGUGYGAAUUGCAGAAUCCCGUGAACCAUCGAGUUUUUGAA
rnacentral:rRNA from 1 species